rnacentral:lncRNA from 1 species
AAAAAUACUUAAUGCAUGAUGAAUUGUUUUGUUUAAGGUGAAGACACCUCUGCGGAACAGACUGAAGGAGAGGCACUUGGAUGUCUGUUGUAAGGUGGCCGUUGAUGGACCAGACCAGGAGGCCUUGGACUACAAGGAGUGCAUGAGGAGGUUCUACAGAAUGAAAAAGAGGAGGCUGAAAUGUUCUGUCUGGUUGCGAGAUGUGUGGAUGAAGUGUACUUUCAAUUUAAAGUUGCCAGCUGAUUUGUGUAUGUAUAUAGUUUUAAUAAAUGAAUGCUUUAACAUGAUAAUGGUCACACUCUUUUUUGAACUCUUAACUUAAAGUAUGUUGCCUGUAAAAGAAAGUGAGUCGGUUGAAUUUACAAAUACAUGCACGUCAUGGCGCAUGGUCAGGAUGGUGCCACCUCUGCCUCAAUUUGAGCCAGGAAAAACCCUGCA